UGUAUAAAUGACUCAUUCUUGACAAAAGGCAAAAGAGCUGUGUGCCUGCGCACAUUUGAAUAAUGUCGGGCUGUAAACAGGUUCGGGCUUUUAAAAAGCUGUCAAUCAAAAUGUACUUGUCGGGCUCGGGCCUUGUCGGGCCUAACUUUUAAGGCCCGAUUACAGCUCUACGCCAGAUGGCUGGACUGAGCUUUAUCCCACUACGCAGGCCUGUAUCUCCAUGAGGGGUUGAAAUGCCUUUGAAGAUUGACCAUGCGUUGUUUUCACUGUAAUAGCGACUUUUGACAGAAACAUCAAAGGUGAGCAAGAGGAGAACGUUCAGUUGGACGAGUAUGACGUCUACAAAGAAGAUCACAUCACGUACAUCACAAUAUCUCAAUAUGUGAUGCGUCUCAGUGUAGUGUGGACGUCUAAAGCUUCCCUGCUCACGGAACAGUCGCAUGCCAGUACGAAAUACGACAAUGCGUCCAUGAAACUUUUAUCCGCGAAUACCACUCGCUGAAAAGCGACUUUGUGUUGAAGAAACUAAAGGCGUUGUUGUCUCAUAUACUGUCAUCCCGCUUGUAAACAUGUAUUAUGUGCUUAUGUAAUGUUAUGUGACAUGUUACAGUCAGUGUAAAGUGUUGUGUAAUAAACUUUGUUACCUGUG